GAGUUUGAUCGUGGCUCAGAACGAACGUUAGCGGCGCGCCUAACACAUGCAAGUCGCACGAGAAAGGGCUUCGGCCCCGGUAAAGUGGCGCACGGGUGAGUAACACGUAGGUAAUCUGCCUUCGAGUGGUGGACAACUUCCCGAAAGGGGAGCUAAGUACAGCAUAAAGACCACAGAACCCUUUGGGUUUUGCGGCCAAAAGCGGGGCCUCUCCGAUGGAAGCUCGCGCUUGAAGAUGAGCCUGCGGCCCAUCAGCUAGCUGGUAAGGUAACGGCUUACCAAGGCUAAGACGGGUAGCUGGUCUGAGGAGGAUGAACAGCCACACUGGAACUGAGACACGGUCCAGACUCCUACCGGGAGGCAGCAGUGGGGAAUCUUGCGGCAAUGGGCGAAAGCCUGACGCAGCGACGCCGCGUGAGCCGAUGAAGGCCUU
rnacentral:rRNA from 1 species